UGGUUCUGGCAUNGAUGAAGAACGCAGCGAAAUGCGAUAAGUAAUGUGAAUUGCAGAAUUCAGUGAAUCAUCGAAUCUUUGAACGCACAUUGCGCCCGCCAGUAUUCUGGCGGGCAUGCCUGUUCGAGCGUCAUUUCAACCCUCAAGCCCCCGGGCUUGGUGUUGGGGAUCGGCGAGCCUCUGCGCCCGCCGUCCCCUAAAUUUAGUGGCGGUCACGUUGUAACUUCCUCUGCGUAGUAGCACACUUAGCACUGGGAAACAGCGCGGCCACGCCGUAAAACCCCCAACUUUAGAAUGUUUGACCUCGAAUCAGGUAGGACUACCCGCUGA
rnacentral:misc_RNA from 1 species